rnacentral:tRNA from 1 species
CCCCUAGCCUUCCAAGCUAACGAUGCGGGUUCGAUUCCCGCUAC